AUCGGGCGGUAAAUUCCGUCCA
rnacentral:snRNA from 1 species